rnacentral:lncRNA from 1 species
GCUACGGCGGAUAUGGCUGCAGAGCGGCCGGCUGGGAUCUUAGAUAGGAGGGGUGGAUUUGCAAGGCCUAGAAUAGCUGGGGAGUGGUUUCCCCGCGGAAUCGGCCUCCCUGCCGCUCCUGCUUUGUACUGUGACGCUCAGCCUGUGAUGACUGGUGUGGAAUCCGCUGAGCCACCUUGGCCUAAGGAGACUUUACCACUCUGAGAUUGUAAAUCUGUAAAAUAGAGAUGUAGGAUUAGCC